rnacentral:piRNA from 1 species
UGGCCUAGCAGAAACCACGAGGACCUUGAU